GAUGAACGCUGGCGGCGUGCCUAAUACAUGCAAGUCGAGCGAACAGACGAGGAGCUUGCUCCUCUGACGUUAGCGGCGGACGGGUGAGUAACACGUGGAUAACCUACCUAUAAGACUGGGAUAACUUCGGGAAACCGGAGCUAAUACCGGAUAAUAUAUUGAACCGCAUGGUUCAAUAGUGAAAGACGGUUUUGCUGUCACUUAUAGAUGGAUCCGCGCCGCAUUAGCUAGUUGGUAAGGUAACGGCUUACCAAGGCAACGAUGCGUAGCCGACCUGAGAGGGUGAUCGGCCACACUGGAACUGAGACACGGUCCAGACUGCUACGGGAGGCAGCAGUAGGGAAUCUUCCGCAAUGGGCGAAAGCCUGACGGAGCAACGCCGCGUGAGUGAUGAAGGUCUUCGGAUCGUAAAACUCUGUUAUUAGGGAAGAACAAAUGUGUAAGUAACUAUGCACGUCUUGACGGUACCUAAUCAGGAAGCCACGGCUAACUACGUG
rnacentral:rRNA from 1 species